UGCAAGUCGAACGGUAACAUUUCUAGCUUGCUAGAAGAUGACGAGUGGCGGACGGGUGAGUAAUGCUUGGGAACUUGCCUUUGCGAGGGGGAUAACAGUUGGAAACGACUGCUAAUACCGCAUAAUGUCUUCGGACCAAACGGGGCUUCGGCUCCGGCGCAAAGAGAGGCCCAAGUGAGAUUAGCUAGUUGGUAAGGUAACGGCUUACCAAGGCGACGAUCUCUAGCUGUUCUGAGAGGAAGAUCAGCCACACUGGGACUGAGACACGGCCCAGACUCCUACGGGAGGCAGCAGUGGGGAAUAUUGCACAAUGGGGGAAACCCUGAUGCAGCCAUGCCGCGUGUGUGAAGAAGGCCUUCGGGUUGUAAAGCACUUUCAGUUGUGAGGAAAAGUUAGUAGUUAAUACCUGCCAGCCGUGACGUUAACAACAGAAGAAGCACCGGCUAACUCCGUGCCAGCAGCCGCGGUAAUACGGAGGGUGCGAGCGUUAAUCGGAAUUACUGGGCGUAAAGCGCACGCAGGCGGUUUGUUAAGCUAGAUGUGAAAGCCCCGGGCUCAACCUGGGAUGGUCAUUUAGAACUGGCAGACUAGAGUCUUGGAGAGGGGAGUGGAAUUCCAGGUGUAGCGGUGAAAUGCGUAGAUAUCUGGAGGAACAUCAGUGGCGAAGGCGACUCCCUGGCCAAAGACUGACGCUCAUGUGC
rnacentral:rRNA from 1 species